rnacentral:pre_miRNA from 9 species
AUCUUUGGUUAUCUAGCUGUAUGAGUAUUACUGACGUCAUAAAGCUAGGUUACCGGAGUU